GAUGAACGCUGGCGGCGUGCCUAAUACAUGCAAGUCGAGCGAACGGACGAGAAGCUUGCUUCUCUGAUGUUAGCGGCGGACGGGUGAGUAACACGUGGAUAACCUACCUAUAAGACUGGGAUAACUUCGGGAAACCGGAGCUAAUACCGGAUAAUAUUUUGAACCGCAUGGUUCAAAAGUGAAAGACGGUCUUGCUGUCACUUAUAGAUGGAUCCGCGCUGCAUUAGCUAGUUGGUAAGGUAACGGCUUACCAAGGCAACGAUGCAUAGCCGACCUGAGAGGGUGAUCGGCGACACUGGAACUGAGCCACGGUCCAGACUCCUACGGGAGGCAGCAGUAGGGAAUCUUCCGCAAUGGGCGAAAGCCUGACGGAGCAACGCCGCGUGAGUGAUGAAGGUCUUCGGAUCGUAAAACUCUGUUAUUAGGGAAGAACAUAUGUGUAAGUAACUGUGCACAUCUUGACGGUACCUAAUCAGAAAGCCACGGCUAACUACGUG
rnacentral:rRNA from 1 species